GUCGAACGGUAAGGCCCUUCGGGGUACACGAGUGGCGAACGGGUGAGUAACACGUGGGUAAUCUGCCCUGCACAUCGGGAUAAGCCUGGGAAACUGGGUCUAAUACCGAAUAGGACCACAGAACACAUGUCCUGUGGUGGAAAGCUUUUGCGGUGUGGGAUGGGCCCGCGGCCUAUCAGCUUGUUGGUGGGGUGAUGGCCCACCAAGGCGACGACGGGUAGCCGGCCUGAGAGGGUGUCCGGCCACACUGGGACUGAGAUACGGCCCAGACUCCUACGGGAGGCAGCAGUGGGGAAUAUUGCACAAUGGGCGAAAGCCUGAUGCAGCGACGCCGCGUGGGGGAUGACGGCCUUCGGGUUGUAAACCUCUUUCACCAUCGACGAAGGUCCGGGUUUUCUCGGGCUGACGGUAGGUGGAGAAGAAGCACCGGCCAACUACGUGCCAGCAGCCGCGGUAAUACGUAGGGUGCGAGCGUUGUCCGGAAUUACUGGGCGUAAAGAGCUCGUAGGUGGUUUGUCGCGUUGUUCGUGAAAUCUCACGGCUUAACUGUGAGCGUGCGGGCGAUACGGGCAGACUUGAGUACUGCAGGGGAGACUGGAAUUCCUGGUGUAGCGGUGGAAUGCGCAGAUAUCAGGAGGAACACCGGUGGCGAAGGCGGGUCUCUGGGCAGUAACUGACGCUGAGGAGCGAAAGCGUGGGGAGCGAACAGGAUUAGAUACCCUGGUAGUCCACGCCGUAAACGGUGGGUACUAGGUGUGGGUUUCCUUCCUUGGGAUCCGUGCCGUAGCUAACGCAUUAAGUACCCCGCCUGGGGAGUACGGCCGCAAGGCUAAAACUCAAAGAAAUUGACGGGGGCCCGCACAAGCGGCGGAGCAUGUGGAUUAAUUCGAUGCAACGCGAAGAACCUUACCUGGGUUUGACAUGCACAGGACGCCGGCAGAGAUGUCGGUUCCCUUGUGGCCUGUGUGCAGGUGGUGCAUGGCUGUCGUCAGCUCGUGUCGUGAGAUGUUGGGUUAAGUCCCGCAACGAGCGCAACCCUUGUCUCAUGUUGCCAGCGGGUAAUG
rnacentral:rRNA from 1 species